UGUAAGCGUAUACCAAAGUUGUUGCAGUUAAAACACUCGUAGUCGGAAUUUGGCAGUUCCGGAUGUGUGCACGUCGUGUGCGCACUUCGCGGGGAUUGCUUUUGUGGUCUUGCGUAGGAUGAGGCACUUUUAUUAGUGAACGUCCUCACGCAACCACUUUUUACUGUGAGAAAAUCAGAGUGCUCAAAGCAGGCAUUUGCCGUGAAUGUAUUAGCAUGGAAUAAUAGAAUAGGACUUGGUUCUAUUUUGUUGGUUUGUUGGGACUGAGUAAUGAUUAAGAGGGACAGUUGGGGGCAUUUGUAUUUCGGCGCUAGAGGUGAAAUUCUUAGAUUGCCGAAAGACAAACUGCUGCGAAAGCGUCUGCCAAGGAUGUUUUCAUUGA
rnacentral:rRNA from 1 species